GACGAACGCUGGCGGCGUGCCUAAUACAUGCAAGUCGAGCGAAUCAAUAGGAGCUUGCUCCUGUUGGUUAGCGGCGGACGGGUGAGUAACACGUGGGAAACCUGCCUGUAAGACUGGGAUAACACCGGGAAACCGGUGCUAAUACCGGAUAAUCCUUUUCCUCACAUGAGGGAAAGCUGAAAGUCGGUUUCGGCUGACACUUACAGAUGGGCCCGCGGCGCAUUAGCUAGUUGGGGAGGUAACGGCGCACCAAGGGGACGAUGCGUAGCCGACCUGAGAGGGUGAUCGGCCACACUGGGACUGAGACACGGCCCAGACUCCUGAGGGAGGCAGCAGUAGGGAAUCUUCCACAAUGGACGAAAGUCUGAUGGAGCAACGCCGCGUGAGCGAUGAAGGCCUUCGGGUCGUAAAGCUCUGUUGUUAGGGAAGAACAAGUACCGGAGUAACUGCCGGUACCUUGACGGUACCUAACCAGAAAGCCACGGCUAACUACGUGCCAGCCGCCGCAGUAAAAC
rnacentral:rRNA from 1 species